CGCCGUAAACGAUGAUUACUCGUUGUUGGCAAUACACAGUCAGUGACUAAGGGAAACCGAUAAGCAAUCCACCUGGGGAGUACGACCGCAAGGUUGAAACUCAAAGGAAUUGACGGGGGCCCGCACAAGCGGUGGAGCAUGUGGUUUAAUUCGAUGAUACGCGAGGAACCUUACCUGGGCUCAAAUGUAAGUUGACAGUACCCGAAAGGGUAUUUUCUUCGGACAAUUUACAAGGUGCUGCAUGGUUGUCGUCAGCUCGUGCCGUGAGGUGUCGGGUUAAGUCCCAUAACGAGCGCAACCCCUAUUCUUAGUUGCCAUCAGGUGAAGCUGGGGACUCUAGGAAAACUGCCUACGCAAGUAGAGAGGAAGGUGGGGAUGACGUCAAAUCAGCACGGCCCUUACGUCCAGGGCUACACACGUGCUACAAUGGCCGGUACAGAGGGCAGCCACCCCGUGAGGGGGAGCGAAUCUCGAGAGCCGGUCUCAGUUCGGAUCGAAGUCUGCAACCCGACUUCGUGAAGCUGGAAUCGCUAGUAAUCGCGCAUCAGCCAUGGCGCGGUGAAUACGUUCCCGGGCCUUGUACACACCGCCCGUCAAGCCAUGGAAGCUGGGGGUACCUGAAGUCGGUAACCGUAAAGGAGCUGCCUAGGGUAAAACUAGUGACUGGGGCUAAGUCGUAACAAGGUA
rnacentral:rRNA from 1 species